rnacentral:rRNA from 1 species
GAUGAACGCUGGCGGCGUGCCUAAUACAUGCAAGUCGAGCGAACAGAUGAGGAGCUUGCUCCUCUGCCGUUAGCGGCGGACGGGUGAGUAACACGUGGAUAACCUACCUAUAAGACUGGGAUAACUUCGGGAAACCGGAGCUAAUACCGGCUCAUAUAUUGAACGGCAUGGUUCAAUAGUGAAAGACGGCUUUGCUGUCACUUAUAGAUGGUUCCGCGCCGCCUUAGCUAGUUGGUAAGGUAACGGCUUACCAAGGCAACGAUGCGUAGCCGGCCUGAGAGGGUGAUCGGCCACACUGGAACUGAGACACGGUCCAGACUCCUACGGGAGGCAGCAGUAGGGAAUCUUCCGCAAUGGGCGAAAGCCUGACGGAGCAACGCCGCGUGAGUGAUGAAGGUCUUCGGAUCGUAAAACUCUGUUAUUAGGGAAGAACAAAUGUGUAAGUAACUAUGCACGUCUUGACGGUACCUAAUCAGAAAGCCACGGCUAACUACGUG